CUGAAUUUUGUCCCUGCCACUUCCUACUUGUGUGACCUUGAGGAAGCAGGCGUUCUGGCUCCAACUCUCACUUUCUUUGUCUGUAAAACAGGGAGAACCAGAGUCCUUCCCCGACAUGCCUCUUCCGAGGUAGAACAAGACGACGCAGGGACAGGGAGACACUGCACCUGAAGUGCCCAGCUGUCACGUGCCUGACACCUGAGCACUUGACGACCACGAGCUGACGUAGCAAAGAGAGCUCACGCGGCCCCACGCGGCCCAGCCCCCUGGGCAGCAAAAAGAACCAUUGCAAGUUCUCCACGGCAUCAAGCUGCAAUGUGCACAGAGCCAUCCCCAUGCCGGCCCACCCUGCACCCGGAGCAGUGAAGAGCACGUCCCUGCCCGCCACCCCGGGCCUCGGUCACUCUUCCCGGUCGGACCAAACGGCAGGUGUCGAGUGAGUGAGCCACACUGUACGUGGCCAUUGAGAAAACUGUGCUAACGCUGGGCCUGGACCCAGAAGCCCGUUUCCGAGGAGGUGGUCUCCGUCCCCAAGGCUCCUGUGUCUCUGAAGCACUCCCUGCUCCUGGGAAGGCCUGUGCCCCGCCCCCACGAGCCCUUCGCAUGCUGAAUCGAAACCUUGCAGAGCCACGGACUUCCCACAGACAAGGUCCAGAAGUCAGUGCUGCGUCAGCACAAAGUGCGAGGGAGGGACCGGCAGGUGGUAAAGGGAGUUUAAGAACAGAACAGCAGAGGAAGAGGGGCACCAGGAGCAAACACUGAGGGAAGAACCGAUACCAUCUGGUGAUCACCUGGAGGCAGAAGGGGAAGUUGGCAUCCCUGAGAUUUCCUGCCCCGGAGGAAGGCUCAUAAAUGCUCCCCGAGGCCGACACUGGGCCACUGCUGUCGCUGAGCACACACUCCGGUGGCCUUCCCCACCUGGACACCAGGAGUGAGCCCAGUUCCCAGGCUACAGUGCGGGAUAACGUGCAGACCAUCUAUCAACUCAUCUGGCUACC